rnacentral:rRNA from 1 species
AGCAUAAUCAUUAGUCUUUUAAUUUGAGACUGGUAUGAAAGAGUAAACCGGGAGAAUCUUUUUUCAGUUAAGAAAAUGAAUUUUACUUUUUAGUAAGAAGGCUAAAAUAAAUCUUUAAGACAAGAAGACCCUAUAAAACUUUAUAUUUUAUUUUUCUUAGAUGGAGAAAAAAAAUAUUACACUGGGGCGGUGGAGAAAAAAGCUUUCUUUAAAAGAAAAGACAGACUUGUUUAAAUACCUAGAAGUUCUAAAAAAGAAAUAAGUUACUUUAGGGAUAACAGCUUAAUUUACUUUAAAAGAUCAAAUUGACAAGUGAGUUUAUGACCUCGAUGUUGAAUUAAAAGUCCUUUUUUGCGCAAAAGCUUAGAAA